CUCUCAGAGUCUCUUGACUGCGUUGAAGGUCUUUCCUUUUUCCUCUCCUCUCAUCCUCUAAUGUAAUCACUGUUGUGGUCAUGUAUUGUUGAUAGUUUGUGUUCUCGUGCAAUCACUGUUGUGGUCAUGUAUUGUUGAUAGUUUAGCAUUACUUUGUUUGUGUUCUCGUGUAUUCUCGUGCGAAGGCGUUUGUGUUCUUGUGCAAUCACUGUUGUGGUCAAUGGUCAUGUAUUGUUGCUUUGUUUCACGCUUCGUUGGUGAUUUUUUAAUUUUUUUUUAUACAAAUGUGGCUUUGUGUAUCAAACUCUGAAGUAAUUAUAUGGUUGGUGAUUGUUUCACGCUCUGAAGCUUAUCUCCUCUGAUUUGGGUCUCAGCCUCUCUCCUCUCAGAGUCUCUCCAUCGAUCUCUCUCGACGACUCACUCUCAGACCCUGUGAUGGACCAAGAAGAGACGCAGUAGCUGGUGCAGUUGGAGAAGAAGACUAAGAUGUGUAGUGAUGUUGGUUUCUGCGAUGGUGACAGACUGAGUGGAGAUGUUGAUUUCAUAUUUUCCUUUCUUUAUGUAAUGAUCAGACUAAAUGGCUGAAAGAUAUUAUUGUUAUGAAACCUUUUUUUUCAAAACUGAAGUUUGAUAUUGAUGAAUGAUGAA